rnacentral:misc_RNA from 1 species
GAGAGCAGUAGGGGUAGCAGGAAUUCCCAGUGUAGCGGUGAAAUGCGUAGAGAUUGGGAAGAACAUCGGUGGCGAGAGCGUGCUACUGGGCUGUAUCUGACACUCAGGGACGAAAGCUAGGGGAGCGAAAGGGAUUAGAUACCCCUGUAGUCCUAGCCGUAAACGAUGGAUACUAGGCGUGGCUUGUAUCGACCCGAGCCGUGCCGAAGCUAACGCGUUAAGUAUCCCGCCUGGGGAGUACGCACGCAAGUGUGAAACUCAAAGGAAUUGACGGGGGCCCGCACAAGCGGUGGAGUAUGUGGUUUAAUUCGAUGCAACGCGAGGAACCUUACCGAGACUUGACAUGUCGCGAACCCUGGUGAAAGCUGGGGGUGCCUUCGGGAGCGCGAACACAGGUGGUGCAUGGCUGUCGUCAACUCGUGUCGUGAGAUGUUGGGUUAAGUCCCGCAACGAGCGCAACCCUCGUUCUUAGUUGCCAGCAUUAAGUUGGGGACUCUAAGGAGACUGCCGGUGACAAACCGGAGGAAGGUGGGGAUGACGUCAAGUCAGCAUGCCCCUUACGUCUUGGGCGACACACGUACUACAAUGGUCGGGACAAAGGGCAGCGAACUCGCGAGAGCCAGCGAAUCCCAGCAAACCCGGCCUCAGUUCAGAUUGCAGGCUGCAACUCGCCUGCAUGAAGGAGGAAUCGCUAGUAAUCGCCGGUCAGCAUACGGCGGUGAAUUCGUUCCCGGGCCUUGUACACACCGCCCGUCACACCAUGGAAGCUGGUCACGCCCGAAGUCAUUACCUCAACCGCAAGGAGGGGGUUGCCUAAGGCAGGGCUAGUGACUGGGGUGAAGUCGUAACAAGGUAGCCGUACCGGAAGGUGUGGCUGGAUCACCUCCUUAAAGGGAGACCUAAUUCAGGUAGGAGACGAAAAAAAAGUAGUCGCUACCAAGAAUCAAUCCCAAAAGGUCGGAGCGAGGCGAAAUUGGCUUUCAAACUAGGUUCUGGGUUCACACAAGACCUGAAUCAGGAACAAGGGCUAUUAGCUCAGGUGGUUAGAGCGCACCCCUGAUAAGGGUGAGGUCCCUGGUUCGAGUCCAGGAUGGCCCACCUGUACAGGUGGCAAAAAGAAAGAAAAGAAGCGAGGAAUCAGCACCUUAUCUUACUGACAUAGUAAGAGAGAAAUGCUGGCUCUGAGUUCAGAGUCCAGA